UACGUAGGGUGCGAGCGUUAAUCGGAAUUACUGGGCGUAAAGCGUGCGCAGGCGGUUGUGCAAGACAGAUGUGAAAUCCCCGGGCUUAACCUGGGAAUUGCAUUUGUGACUGCACGGCCAGAGUGUGUCAGAGGGAGGUAGAAUUCCACGUGUAGCAGUGAAAUGCGUAGAUAUGUGGAGGAAUACCGAUGGCGAAGGCAGCCUCCUGGGAUAACACUGACGCUCAUGCACGAAAGCGUGGGGAGCAAACAGG
rnacentral:rRNA from 1 species